AAAGAGAGUUAAAAAAUCACCCCAAAAGGGAAAAAUACUGCAAAAACAAACCACAAACCCCCCAAAAGGAAAGAAAACGAUAUCUAAAUUAUGUUAAUCUGUGAACACUGGGGACACUUUGGAAUUCCUUUUGACCCUGGCAAAAGUGAUCGCUCCAGCAUAAACGUCACCUGCUGCUGUCAGUUUUGCUACUACCUUGUGCAUGUGUCAAACGAAACACGUUUUGAAGAUCAGAAAUAUAUUAGAACUAAGCUAAACAACAGAAAAAAAAACCAAACCAACAAAUAGUAAUAAUAAUAAAUAAUAAAUCCUUGGGGCUGGUCUCCAUUAAAGAUGACAUUUCUUUGUUGCCAACAGUAUUAUUUCACUGCCAUGAAUCUCUUCCAUCACUGAGGAGCUGCUGCAGCAGAACUGGUUUGAAUUUAAAUGUGGAAUUUCAGAUCUGAGGCAAGGCAGGUUUUUUUUUUUGGUUUUACGUUUUUCUUUUCUUUCCUUUAAAAAAAAAAAAAGGAAAAGCAGCAAUAACAAAAAAAAAUGUGCGUCUCAAAUGGCCAUGUCCUUUGAAAGGAGGAAAAGAAUUUGCUAAUUAUUAGUGGUCACUUGAAAGAUGGGAACAAUAAGAAAUGCACCUGUUUUGCCAGAAUCAUCUGAACUCGAUGAGCUGCGUUGUGCCAUAGAAACAGGUCAAGUUAUUUUCAUUUUUUUCUUUUCCAAAAUGUCUGGAUCUUUCGAUCAAAAUCUCUCUGUUUUUACAGGACGUAGAAAGAAUGACUUAUACAACAAAGACGGACAUAUGGUUUUAAGGCAUAAUACUGAUGCAGCGUUAAUUUUAGUGAAAUGCAAUUAAGUGCAGUAAAGUGCAAUACUGUAAAUAUUAUAGAUUAAAAAAAAUAAAUAGCCGUACUUAUUCUGUUAAAAACCAAUUCUGCAAGAACCAUGAAUUAAGUCCUUUAUGCUCAGACUGGUGCUUUGCAGCUCCUUGCCAAAACGACGGCCCAAGUCUUCUAUGAAUGGAUAAAGUUACAUGUAUCGCAUAUGGGAAGAGGUAGAUGCCAUGAUUUCUAGUCGAGUUAAAUGUGCCAUAUUUUUGGGAAGUAAACUGAAGAGUCUGCAUGACACUUUCACAAUUAGUUUAAGUCAAAGAAUCCAAACCAAAACUAAAGAAACAACCUGCAAAAGUGUUUUGUAGAGGUGGACAAGUUCAAUAUUUGGGCAUUUUAAUUUUUGCCUGUGGUUUAGACCCCAAGUCUUAAGCUAAUGCUUAAGCAAAGUAACUACCAUAAAUCCAGAAAACAUGGGGAGUAGGGAAAUCCUUUAAAUUACAUUACCAAAGUGUCUGGGUUUACUGACCCCCCAUGUUUUACUUUUCAUGGUAUUCACUUCAAAUUAGUUCAUUAUAUGUUUUCUGUCUUAAUUUUUGGUGGGAAGAAGGAAGUGCAAAUAUUGGUCUUGUCUACAUCUAACAAGGAUAGCUACUUGUUGCUUUUGUUACCAAGGCCUGUGCUGAUGGAAGGUUAUCCUCUCAAUAAUACUGCUGUUAAGCCUGCUUUUUAUGUCUCAUUUAGCAAUCCAUUACUAGUUUUGGCUUUUGCUGAUAUUUAUCAAAUCCAAAUAUUACUGUAGGACAAAAAUCCAUGCUGUAGAAAAAUUUUAGACACUUGUCUUCUUUUGUUAUUUCUCCUUCAAGUUUUAUUAUUUUCCAGCAAGCAUAACUUCUGGAAUGUCAAAGUUGUGCCAUUUCCCUUUUAUUUAUUAUGUGAGGAGUAUUUAUAUUUUGGAUUUGCUAGAGCUGAUAAAUGUUACCUGCCUUUUCUACCUCUCUGUGAAAGCCCAGUACGUUUUAAAAGCACGGCCAAAACAUUAAGGUAGCAUUACUCAUUGCUGAGGAAUACAGACAAAGAUCUCAGGCAAUUAACAAUUUCUCAUUGAGACAAAAUACUACCUAGAAAGUAAAACAUUAUUCAUGGUGAUGUAUGAAUUUCUGGCUAAAAUAAGAAACAUUUGGAGUGGCUCCAGCACUUGUAACAUAUGGAUCUGAAAAAUAAUAAACAUUACUACAGAGAUGCUUUAGGCUGUAGCAAGUAACCUGUUGUACUGGAUACUGACAGCCAUCAAAGGAGAAUUCGAUACACAUUGUUGAGGACUGGAGGCAUAAAACUGUUGCCUGAGUGGAGAGUGCUUGUUACCUGUACCUCUGAUGUAAUUGUUAUCCUUUCAAACCGUCUUUUGAGAAUUUAAGAGAGGCUUAUGUGAUUUUUUUUUUUUUUUUUUCCCAGUCCUGUGCUGGACUUUCACAAAGGAGUAAUUUUUACCUUCAAACAAUUCCACAGAAUGAGCUUGUUGGAGCUGUGGGUUUAGGAUCUGAAUUUUCUUAGACGUCUUCUAAGGGAGGCUGUGAAGUGCUACCGAUCUUACAGUUGUGUUACAGGAUGCACGUACAGUAUGCAUCUGCCUCAAAUUGGAAGGAAUAACUUUUCCACCUUUGCUGUUUUACUAGGUACCAACACAGCAAAAGUGCUUGUAGGUUUCUCUCAGAUAUUUUGCUACGUACAGUUUCUUUCUUGUAUUCAAAAGCCAGUGGUAACUUAAACACAGUUCCCUGCUAACAUGAAACAAGGCUGGUAGUGUAACAUACAUCUUUUCAGAAUGAAAAAUUCUUACAGUUUCUUCUGAUUGCUUUCAAUGGAUGUCUCAAGGACCAUCUUGCCCUCUACUGCAGAAGGGAAGAAGGUGGCAAGGUUUGUCAGUUUAGCCUAUUUUGAGAGAAGGACCAUAGAUCAGCCUGGGGAAAGGGGCAGGGUGUUGCUGUGAAUCUACCAAGUCACUUCAUGAUGCUCUUGCAUUCCAUUUAGCAUGAAAGGAAACAGUGCACUGUGCAAGGGUUGUAGCUGAAACUGGUUCUGCUUUGCUUAUUUCUCAAUGGGCUAAUUGCAUCAGUGGUGGUAUAAAAGCUUUGCCUUGUUUUGGAUGAUGCACUCAGGUGGCCUCCUUGUCAUCCUUAACAUCUCUUGAAAGAAACGAGGAGUCCUACCUGGGCUACCAUGAACUGUAUGUGUCCCUAAGUGUAAGUCCCUGUGGCUCCAUUCACCGUGUGGAGCACCAGGGACCCAUUCAAGUUGAGAAUCUGGACCAAAGCAUCUGCUGCGUUUCUGUUAAUGUGUGGUCUUUUUUUUUUUGUUUUGUUUUGUUUGCAUUUACUUCAUUAUUUUUCUUGAGGGAGUUGGAGGUUGAAGAUAAGGUAGUCAAGGUCCUAAGAUACUUAUUAAAUCUUAAAAGUAUUGUAAUUGUGUUAGAUUCUCAGGCAUGACAAAACUCUUUUUUUUUUUUUUUUGUACACCAUCAUACAGCCUGAUGCAAUCUUUCAUUUGAGAAGUGUGAGAUUUCCAAGAUCACCAGAGCAGUGGCCACUGGGAAAAAUUCCCUUGGAGGAGGCCUUCAGUUAGUGACCUCUGUUUAAGUUGCUGCGUGAGGUAAACCAUGCUCGAGGAGCAAAUUUGGACUGUGAAGAGAAUGAAGCCAUUUUCUAAGAAUAUUCCUCACCUGCAUGAGAUACCGAUGAGCCGAGUAUCUUCUUCUACUGGCAGAUGAGACCUCAGGCUGCAUCUUGUCUUCCAUCAUAAUGGAAUCCACUGUACAGGAGCACUUGGGGUGGCACCUCUUGGUAAUAUUUUUUUUUACUACACGAGAGUAAUCGGCUGAUGCUUCCCAGAAUUGUUGGGCUGCUAAGGCUCUGGUAAACCCUGUAUAUGCCUCAAGGAAAACCGUACAUGCCUCGCAGGGGUCCAGGAAAGUAGGUGAGUGAGGGUAGACUACCAUGAUCAGAAAAAUGGCUAAUGCUUAUGAGAAUCCUGUUGCUUGAGGACCAUUCCCUGUUCACUUGCCAUGAAUAAGGAGGGAGCAAAGUUGAAUGAAUUGUCUAGCAAGGUUGGUGAGCUGGGUAUCCCUUUCAUAAACCUGGGGCUUAGCUGGAACUUUCUGAAGCAGUUGUGAA